rnacentral:rRNA from 1 species
UUUAAUUUUUCUCAGGAAACAGCAUUAAAAUAAAUAAAACCGUACCUUAAACCGACUCAGGUAGAUGGGUAGAAUAUACUAAGGCGUUCAAGGUAAUUAUGUUGAAGGAACUCGGCAAAUUGGCUCUGUAACUUCGGGAGAAGGAGUGACGAAUAGGGGGAAAUCCUUUAUUCGUUGACACUAAAGAAGGAGAAACAACUGUUUAACAAAAACACAGGUCUCUGCUAAUUUGAAAAAAGAUGUAUAGAGACUGACACCUGCCCGGUGCUGUAAGGUUAACUUGAUUUGCUGUGGCAAUGAGAUUAAGCUCCAGUAAACGGCGGCUUUAACUCUGAGGGUCCAAAGGUAGCGAAA